rnacentral:tRNA from 1 species
UCCUUGGUGGUCCAGGGGUUAGGACUCUGAGCUUCCACUGCAAGAGGCAUGGGUUUGAUCCCUGUUUAGGGAA